GAUGAACGCUGGCGGCGUGCCUAAUACAUGCCAGUCGAGCGAACGGACGAGAAGCUUGCUUUUCUGAUGUUAGCGGCGGACGGGUGAGUAACACGUGGAUAACCUACCUAUAAGACUGGGAUAACUUCGGGAAACCGGAGCUAAUACCGGAUAAUAUUUUGAACCGCAUGGUUCAAAAGUGAAAGACGGUCUUGCUGUCACUUAUAGAUGGAUCCGCGCUGCAUUAGCUAGUUGGUAAGGUAACGGCUUACCAAGGCAACGAUGCAUAGCCGACCUGAGAGGGUGAUCGGCCACACUGGAACUGAGACACGGUCCAGACUCCUACGGGAGGCAGCAGUAGGGAAUCUUCCGCAAUGGGCGAAAGCCUGGCGGAGCAACGCCGCGUGAGUGAUGAAGGUCUUCGGAUCGUAAAACUCUGUUAUUAGGGAAGAACAUAUGUGUAAGUAACUGUGCACAUCUUGACGGUACCUAAUCAGAAAGCCACGGCUAACUACGUG
rnacentral:rRNA from 1 species